rnacentral:rRNA from 1 species
AUACGUAGGGGGCGAGCGUUGUCCGGAAUUACUGGGUGUAAAGGGCGUGUAGGCGGGGGUGCAAGUUACCGGUAAAAACCCAGGGCUCAACUCUGGGCUUGCCGGUAAAACUGCAUCUCUUGAGUGUAGGAGAGGGAAGUGGAAUUCCCGGAGUAGCGGUGAAAUGCGUAGAUACCGGGAGGAACACCAGUGGCGAAGGCGGCUUCCUGGCCUACAACUGACGCUGAGGCGCGAAAGCUAGGGUAGCGAACGGGAUUAGAUACCCCGGUAGUCCUAGCCGUAAACGAUGGUCACUAGGUGUGGGUGGUGGUCAAGCCAUCCGUGCCGGAGCUAACGCAAUAAGUGACCCACCUGGGGAGUACGGCCGCAAGGCUGAA